rnacentral:rRNA from 1 species
UACCAGCUCCCUGAGUGGUAAGGACGAUUAUUUGGCCUAAAGCGUCCGUAGCCGGCUUAUCAAGUCUUUUGUUAAACCCAAUGAUUCAAUCAUUGAUCUGCAAGAGAUACUGUUAUGCUAGAGGACGGGAGAGGUCGACGGUAGUCCAGGGGUAGGGGUGAAAUCCUAUAAUCCUUGGAGGACCACCAGUGGCGAAGGCGGUCGACUAGAACGUGCCUGACGGUGAGGGACGAAAGCUGGGGGAGCGAACCGGAUUAGAUACCCGGGUAGUCCCAGCUGUAAACGAUGCGGGCUAGGUGUUGGGGUAGCUACGAGCUACUCCAGUGCCGCAGAGAAGUUGUUAAGCCCGCCGCCUGGGGAGUACGGCCGCAAGGCUGAAACUUAAAGGAAUUGGCGGGGAGUACCACAAGGGGUGAAGGCUGCGGUUU